rnacentral:rRNA from 1 species
AACGAACGCUGGCGGCAUGCCUAACACAUGCAAGUCGAACGAGACCUUCGGGUCUAGUGGCGCACGGGUGCGUAACGCGUGGGAACCUGCCCUUAGGUUCGGAAUAACUCCCCGAAAGGGGUGCUAAUACCGGAUAAUGUCUUCGGACCAACGAUUUAUCGCCUUUGGAUGGGCCCGGGUUGGAUUAGCUAGUUGGUAGGGUAAAAGCCUACCACGGCGACGAUCCAUAGCUGGUAUGAGAGGAUGAUCAGCCACACUGGGGCUGAGAAACGGCCCAGACACUGAGAGGAGGCAGCGGCCGGGAAUCUUGGAGAAGGGGGGAGAGGGAAAUCUUGAAAAGGGGCGGGAGUCCAGAACGACUUAGGCCGGGAGAGUAAUUAAGGUUGGGGGGAUGGAAAGUUCUUUAACCCGGGGUUGUAUUGACGUUACCGGGAGAAUAAGCACCGGCUAACUCCGUG